ensembl:snRNA U6 U6 spliceosomal RNA
GUGCUCAUUUCUGCAGCACAUAGACUAAAAGUGGAAUGAUACAGGGAAGAUUAGCCUGGCUCCUACCAAAGGAUGACAUGCAAAUUUAUUGAGUGUCCCAGAUUAAA